rnacentral:lncRNA from 1 species
GAACACACAUCCACUUGCGAGAUUCAUAUUUCUGAGACAGAGCCACCUACUCAUGUGUUGAGAUCAAGAGAUUCCAAUCCAAUCAUUUGAAACUUGAUCUCUAGCCUCCUCAAGUUUCUUUCCACAAAAUCAAUCUCUCCUACCCGUGCCAAAUCUGUGAGAGAGUGAUUGAGUGUUGAAGAGAAUAUCUUUUCAAGCACGAGAGCAAGGAGUUCAUCGUUCUACCACAUUUAUUAACUUUUGAAGGGUGGUGCCUCCUAGAUUAGUUAGGUGUUGCUUGAGAGCCUCCUACUUCGUGUUGUGGAGUUGAACCAGGAAGUUUGUAAGGGCAAAGAGAUCGCCUACUUCGUGAAGAUCUACCGUGAGUGAGGAUAGUCCUGUGUAGAUGUAAACCAUGGUGGAAUAAACAAGGUCGCUUCUUCGUG